GAACGGGUGAGUAACACGUGAGCAAUCUGCCCCUGACUCUGGGAUAAGCGCUGGAAACGGCGUCUAAUACCGGAUACGAGCUGCGAAGGCAUCUUCAGCAGCUGGAAAGAACUUCGGUCAGGGAUGAGCUCGCGGCCUAUCAGCUAGUUGGUGAGGUAAUGGCUCACCAAGGCGUCGACGGGUAGCCGGCCUGAGAGGGUGACCGGCCACACUGGGACUGAGACACGGCCCAGACUCCUACGGGAGGCAGCAGUGGGGAAUAUUGCACAAUGGGCGCAAGCCUGAUGCAGCAACGCCGCGUGAGGGACGACGGCCUUCGGGUUGUAAACCUCUUUUAGCAGGGAAGAAGCGAAAGUGACGGUACCUGCAGAAAAAGCACCGGCUAACUACGUGCCAGCAGCCGCGGUAAUACGUAGGGUGCAAGCGUUAUCCGGAAUUAUUGGGCGUAAAGAGCUCGUAGGCGGUUUGUCGCGUCUGCUGUGAAAACUGGGGGCUCAACCCCCAGCCUGCAGUGGGUACGGGCAGACUAGAGUGCGGUAGGGGAGAUUGGAAUUCCUGGUGUAGCGGUGGAAUGCGCAGAUAUCAGGAGGAACACCGAUGGCGAAGGCAGAUCUCUGGGCCGUAAC
rnacentral:rRNA from 1 species